rnacentral:rRNA from 1 species
CCUACGGGAGGCAGCAGUGAGGAAUAUUGGUCAAUGGGCGCGAGCCUGAACCAGCCAAGUCGCGUGCAGGAUGACGGCCCUAUGGAUUGUAAACUGCUUUUAUACGGGAGUAAAGCACGCCACGCGUAGCGUUCUGAAAGUACCCGAAGAAAAAGCAUCGGCUAACUCCGUGCCAGCAGCCGCGGUAAUACGGAGGAUCCGAGCGUUAUCCGGAUUUAUUGGGUUUAAAGGGUGCGUGGGCGGAAGAUCAAGACAGCGGUAAAAUUGAGAGGCUCAACCUCUUCUAGCCGUUGAAACUGGUUUUCUUGAGUGAGUGAGAAGUAGGCGGAAUGCGUGGUGUAGCGGUGAAAUGCAUAGAGAUCACGCAGAACUCCGAUUGCGAAGGCAGCAUACUGGCGCUGAACUGACGCUCAUGCACGAAAGUGUGGGUAUCGAACAGGAUUAGAUACCCGUGUAGUC